CACCUUUCUCUUUCUCUGUCUCUCAACAAACCAGCAGCCACAACGAUCUUUACCAUCCCUGCAAAUCUGAGCCAUCCCAAGUUUUCCGGCGCCGGUGCUAUUGGACAAGUCUGUCAGUUGAUCGGUGUUGUUGUUGAUCAUUCAAUCGUUUUCUCUUCGAAUCUAAGGAGGAAAAGCAGACAAAGAACUAGUGUCUGAAAACGAGUAAGGAAUCAUAAAUGCUUCUGUAUAUGUGUGUAUAUAUAUUCUAUAUCAUAGCAAUGGAAUCUCAGCUUUAAUCUCAUCCGUUUGCGUGAAAGUAACACGGACUUACGCUCGAUAGAUUGAUUGAAUUGCAUUUGUGGUGUUUCAAAAGGUAUUUGUAAAAUUUGUAUCCUAAAAUUUGAUCUGUUUGUUCUUAUUUAGUUUCAGUUUGAUGUGCAUAGAGUAAAUUGAUUGUAUUAUUGUUACUGUUAGUAUUGAUAACUCUAAAAGGCAAGAAAUUUGAUGUUCAUCUUGUUCCUCUGUGAUACUUAAUGAGGACACCAUGUGUGUUGUUAAUCUUCC